CAAACAGUGGAGCAUGUGGUUUAAUUCGAUGCAACGCGAAGAACCUUACCUGGGCUUGAACUGCAGGUAUAGCUGCCCGAAAGGUUAGUGAUCCCCUUCGGGGAACCUGUAGAGGUGCUGCAUGGCUGUCGUCAGCUCGUGUCGUGAGAUGUUGGGUUAAGUCCCGCAACGAGCGCAACCCUUGCCAUUAGUUGUCAGCGAGUCAUGUCGGAUACUCUAAUGGGACUGCCGGUGACGAGCCGGAGGAAGGUGGGGAUGACGUCAAGUCAGCAUGGCCUUUAUGUCCAGGGCCACACACGUGCUACAAUGGACGGUACAGAGGGACGCAAGACCGCAAGGUGGAGCAAAUCCUCAAAACCGUUCUCAGUUCGGAUUGUAGGCUGCAAUUCGCCUACAUGAAGCUGGAAUUGCUAGUAAUCGCAGAUCAGCUACGCUGCGGUGAAUACGUUCUCGGGCCUU
rnacentral:rRNA from 1 species